AUGCUACAAGACACUUACUCAGGAACUUGGACCACCUCUGAUCCUACGUGGCUGCCCAAGGACUGUGAGUAUCCUUAUCUCGCAGGAGCCCUGGCUAAGCACAUUGCAAAGCAGAAGACUCAGCAGAAGCAUACCUGGAUGAUUGACACUCAGACGUCCUGCAGUUUGCAUCCUUACACUUGGAGUGCUUUGGAGUCCUGCCAAGGUGUGACUGGACUCUCGGGACUGGGAGCAUUUUCCGUGCCAAUGACACUGAGGAGAGAGUGGAGACCACCGAGCUUUGGGGAGUCAACAAGUGUCCUGAUAUGGGCUGUUGACUGUUCCUGAUGUGGGAGAAAAG
rnacentral:lncRNA from 12 species